rnacentral:rRNA from 1 species
CAAUAGCGUAUAUUUAAGUUGUUGCAGUUAAAAAGCUCGUAGUUGGAUUUCGGGUGGGACGCAGCGGUCUCGCAUUGCGUUUGUACUGCUGCAGCCCUCCUUCUUGCCGGGGGCGGCCUCUCGGACUUCACUGUCUGGGGGUCAGAAUCGGCGAUGUUACUUUGAGUAAAUUAGAGUGUUCAAAGCAAGCUUACGCUCUGAAUAUAAUAGCAUGGGAUAACACGACAGGACUCUGGCCUAUCGUGUUGGUCUAUAGGACCAGAGUAAUGAUUAAGAGGGACAGGCGGGGGCAUUCGUAUUCCGUUGUCAGAGGUGAAAUUCUUGGAUUUACGGAAGACGAACAUCUGCGAAAGCAUUUGCCAAGGAUGUUUUCAUUGA